CACCUGGGGAAGUGCUGGGCCUGCUAAGAGAAGAAAGGAGCUUCAGGACUUGGCCAGUCUGUGCUGAUAAAAACUGAGAAAGUGUGGAUGGGGCUGAAUUCUGAACCUCCUAGAUCAGGGGGGUGAGAAGCAGGGGGCUGGGCAGAACAGAAUGUUGGAUAAAAGAAAGUAUAUUACUUAUCUAUUGUUGCAUGAUAAUACUCCCAUGGGCUUAGUGGAUUAAAACAAUAUACAUUUCUUUUUCUUACAGUUUCUGUAGCUCAGGAGUUCUAGCACAGCUUAACCGGGUCCUCUGCAAGGCUGCAGUCAAGGUGUCAGCCAGGAGUGGGAUUUUAUCCGAAAACUUGACUGGGAAAGGAUCCACAUGGUUGUCAGCAGGAUUCAGGUCCUUUCUGACUGACUGAGGGCUCCAGUUGCUCCUGGAUGUCUGCCUCAGUUCUUUGCUGUGGCUCCUUCCUGGGGACAGCUCAUGACAUGGCAGCUUGCUUCUUCAAAGUCACCAAGGGAGAGAGACUCCUAGCAAGACAGAUGUCACAAUACUGUGUAAAGUAAUCACACGUAUCUCAGCAUGCAGAUCACACCCAGGGGAGGGAUUACACAAGUGUGUGAGCACCAGAAAUCAGGAUCGUGGAGGUCACUGCAAGUCUUUUGCCACAGAGAGUUUAUUGAUAGCCUUCUCCCAUGAUACAGGAUGGAGCACCCUGGCAAGGACCCUGGGAAGCAGUGCUAACACGCUGCUCAGAGAAAGCAACGUUCCACCUUAGGCGGAGGUUAAAUGUCACACUGCUGUGGCAGAUGGUGGAAGAAGACUGCAAAGCAUGCAGGAGGGGCUGCUUCAUAUGAAAUGGGAAAAGCCAACGGCUCUGUUCUUCAAGGGGGCGUGGAGGACUCUGUGUUUACCAAGCACCUGGAGGAGUGCUUAUUCAUCCUACAAAUGUGCGUUGCCUCCUGGCUAUGCUAUCCUCUGCGUCAAGUACUGCUUUAUGCUGGUGUACAAGGUAGGCAUCUUCCUGUGCUGCCCUUAUGUUCUAACUCUCUACUGGUAUCACAAAUGAACAAAUACAUUU
ensembl:lncRNA